ACCGCGAAAAUGCUCCAAAACUAGCCAAUGGUCAUUCAAACCCAUUAAUAUAUGCCUAAUUAGAUUCUACAACUCAAUAUCUAUAAAUUCUUAACUCCGAACGAAAAGUUGACAAAAAUGCCCUCGGGCCCAUGUGCCCAUAAUCUGAAAUUUUUCGAAAUUAAACUUUGCACGUGAUCUUAGGAACUCAAAUAUAUAAUUUUCUCUUAAUUUCCUACUCAAAAUUGUGGUCAAAAUCCAAGAAUAUAAUUUUCUAGGUUUUCCACCAAAACCUCAAUUGUUAUACUAAUUUUCAUGCCCAAAUCCACACAAAAUUGAUGUAUUUAACUCAUAAUAGGUGGGGUAACAUACCUUAUCAUUGAUGACAAAAAAAUAUCUUCUUGAAGCUCUCCAAAAUCGCCCCCAAGCCAAGAAAAUGUGAGAGAAAUGAGCCAAAAUUCGACUUUUACAACAACCCCUCUGCCCCAGCUCUUUUCGCUUUUGCGGAAUUAUUUCCACCUAUGAGGUUCUGCUUUUGCAGUAAAAAAUGCCACUUCUGCGGUCCCGGACUCCAUCCCCUCUUCCACUUCUACAACUCGCCAACCGUAGGUGCGGUUCCGCUUAUGCGGCUACCCGACCGCAUAUGUGGUCCCCUUCCCUAUUUGCCAAAAUCACUUCUGCGGUCCAAAUUUUGCCUUUACGAUGCCACUUCUAUGGUCCCAUUUCCAUAGAAGCAGAAAUACCAGAUACCAUCUCCCAAGCUUUUCCAAAAAUCCAACUUUCGAUCCAUUAACCACCCGGAAUCCAUCCGAGGCCCCCGGGAGCCCAACCAAUCAUACCAACCAGUCCCAAAACACGUUACCGACUUGCUCGAGGCCUCAAAUCACAUCAAACAACAUCGAAAUCAUGAUCACACUCCAAUUCAAGCUUUAUGAACUUUGAAAUUUUAAACUUCUACAUUCGAUGCCAAACCCAUCAAAUCACAUGCGAUUGACCUCAAAUUUUGCACUCAAGUGAUAUUAAACAUUACGGACCUAUUCCAACUUCCAGGAUUGGAUUCCAACCCCAAUACCAAAAAGUCCACAUCCGGUCAAACUUCAAAAAAACCUUUAAAUUUCUAUCUUUAGCCAAAUGGCUUCAAAAUGACCUACGGACCUCCGAAUUCACUUUCGAUCGCGCUCCCAACUCCAGAAUUACCAUACGGAUCUACUCCCAGUAUCGGAAUCCCAAACUCACAUCAAUAAAACUGAAACACACUUUAAGCAAAACAUAAGGAAUUUCUUCCAAAAUACUAACUUCCACAAUAGGCGCCAAAAUGCUCCUGGUUAUCCAAAACCCUUGCCAGGCAUACGCCCAAGUCCGAUAUCAUUAUAUGAACCUACUGGAACCUUCAGAUCCCGAUUCCGAGGUUGUUUACUCAAAAUUCUAAUCCUAGUUCAUUCUUUCAACUUUAAACUUCUGGAAUGAGAAUGUGCAAUUAAAUUAAAUUUCGAUCUUUCUGAAUUUGAAUUCCGACCAUGCGAACAAUUCACAAUACCUGAAAUGAAGUUGCUCAUGGACUCAGACUGCUGAACGACACGCUAAGGCUCAAACGACCGAUCGGGUCUUUACACUAAUGUUGACCUAAUUUUUCUUGUAUUUUUGUAUUAUAGUCCCUUCUAGAAACUUCCUAAACAAACACGUGUGAUUCUCUGAUUUUCAAAAUUCCUUUGACCCCUUUUACUUCAGCUAAUUACAUAUGUACCACUAAGAAAACGGAUCGAGAAAAAUCCCAAUCGAAUAACCAAAUGCAAAAAUAUCAACAAUUAAAAAAUAAAUCCUAAUUCAAAGGUAUGACUACCCAUUCUUGAUUAAUUAACCUACAAUUAACUAUCAUGAUGUUAAACCAUCAUUCUAAACGUGCAAAAUGUAUAAUCAAAUAAAAUAAUUAGUCAAAUGUCUAAUUAAACUGAACUUAAAAUAUAGAAGAAACGCCAAAAAACAAGGAUCAAUUGGAGUUUAAAAUAGAGGCACAAUAAUUUUAAAUGAAUAGAAAAAGGUCAUGAAAUUACCACUGAGGCCAAAUAGGUAUUGGUCGAGAGAAAAGUUAGUAAACGGCCAACUCUAAUGUUUUUGAAACGAGGCAAAAUUAACAUCCUUCGAAUCAAACAAUGAAAAUAUUGGGCGAGUCAAGUCUUGGAUAUCUUGAAAAAUCUAAAGAAAGAACCUAUGAUUUCUGGUCGUUUUUAAGAUAUGAAAUUUGUGGGGUUUGGGUGGUUUUCUUGGGAAAUUAAUAAGGGGUAAGGAUUUAGAAAGUUUUGGGGAUUAUGUGAUAUAACUUUGGGGUGGUUUGUAGGUGGGCCUCUAGGGUUCUAGGUUUUUGGAGAGGGCCUGUUAUGAGAGGUGGGGGAAUAGAGGGGCGACUUGGAUUUUGUAAGAAAGAGGGGGAAGAGAGUUAUCUUUAGUGAAG
rnacentral:lncRNA from 1 species